rnacentral:tRNA from 1 species
AUUUGAAUAGUUUAUUUAAAAUAAUAAUUUGUGAUUUUAUAGAUGUAAUUUAUUGCUUCAAAUA